GACGAACGCUGGCGGCGUGCUUAACACAUGCAAGUCGAACGGAAAGGCCCUGCUUUUGUGGGGUGCUCGAGUGGCGAACGGGUGAGUAACACGUGAGUAACCUGCCCUUGACUUUGGGAUAACUUCAGGAAACUGGGGCUAAUACCGGAUAGGAGCUCCUGCUGCAUGGUGGGGGUUGGAAAGUUUCGGCGGUUGGGGAUGGACUCGCGGCUUAUCAGCUUGUUGGUGGGGUAGUGGCUUACCAAGGCUUUGACGGGUAGCCGGCCUGAGAGGGUGACCGGCCACAUUGGGACUGAGAUACGGCCCAGACUCCUAUGGGAGGCAGCAGUGGGGAAUAUUGCACAAUGGGCGGAAGCCUGAUGCAGCAACGCCGCGUGCGGGAUGACGGCCUUCGGGUUGUAAACCGCUUCCGCCUGUGACGAAGCGUGAGUGACGGUAAUGGGUAAAGAAGCACCGGCUAACUACGUG
rnacentral:rRNA from 1 species